rnacentral:lncRNA from 1 species
GGCACCGCAAAAUCCUGCUUUCCCAAAAUAGUAAUAGUCUUCUUUUCAUUCCUUAGUUAUAAUCACCAGAGAGAUAGUGGGUCAAAAUACAAGACAUAAUGUUUUGUUAAGAUUUAAAUAUAAUGUACAGCUUCUGUGUUCUCUGCCCUGGCUUACUUUGAUUCAUUGUUCAUUUUAUUAUGUUGUUAUUAACACAGUCCAUAGCCACUGCUCUUGCCUCUCCUCCCACAUCAUGUUGAUGUGAUUUCUUCCACUCAUAAAUUCAGAGACUCUACAGACAGAUAUUUCCCAAAGGAACAAAGAUAUAUAUGGCUUUCUAAAAGGAACAGACAUUAUGAUGUCUGCCUAUUGACUUUUACAAGAAAAAUCAUUUUGUCUAUUAAAAAAUUGCUUCUCAAUCCAGUGUUAAUAAUUUGUCAUGUUCUGUGUCUCUGUUGAAAUGUAGUAACUAUGUCCUUUCUUUGAUAAUUAUAUUGACUAAUGUGAUUCAUGACUCACAGAUUGUAAACUUAGGGAAAAAAUGGUAUAGAUUGAUUACUUUUUUCAGAAAAAUUAAAACUGUAGUUUUAAAGAAGUUAGAAAUUAGAAAAAAAAUGCCAAAUAACACUAUCCCCUCUUUUUUUUCUUUAUCAUAUAAAUUUAGGGCUUGGUCAUAUUUAACACUUUUUUUUAUAAUAAUCCAUGGAAAUAUUGUUUUUUGUGAUGAAGAUUUUACUUAUAAAUCACUUGAGCCAUUAUUAAGAAGCCUUGGGUAAUCUUUGGUGAACAGUUAGACUUAAAAAAUUUGUAUUAUACCUGACAUUCCUAAGACCUAUGUCCUCUUUCUUUGCCACAAUGAGGUCAUCCCUUUGUUUUUUACCUCACCUACCUAGUGCAUUUCCUCUCACAUUUCCUCUGCUAAUGCCUGUUUUACCCCAGGGUCAUGACUUGACUCUUCAUCCUGCCUUUGACCUUGUCAUCAUAUUCCUAUGUUCAUCUGUUCUUCUCUGGUUGUCUGGAGAUUUUUCACUCCUCAGUGGCAGAGUUCUUCAAGUAAGUGUGAACUGGAGUUUGGCACUAGCCAUCUGUCUCUACAUGGAUUAAUCAUGAACCACUGCAGCUGCUGACCCACAACACCCCCAAGCAGAGCUCAGUGUGGAGACCAGGAGUGAGGCACUCUGUGCUCUGGGAAAAGUGGAAGAGCAGGUUUCAGAUAAUUAGAUAUUUUUAGGAGAAGAUUUUAUUAUCCCACUUCUUGCAUCUCCUCAUAACUAGAAAAACAACUAAAACCCUUCAUGGUGGUGUCUGCUCCUUGUGACUAGUAGUAACCUCCCACUGGUAGUAAUGAGGCCAGUGGAAAGCUAUAAAGUAGGCGUAUAGCUGUAUUCAUCUCCCCUUCACCAUUAUCACUCAUAUCUUAAUAUUUUCCCUUUUAUCUUUGGGAACUAUCUGAAAUACUGCCUCCUGGUCUGCAAUAAAGUGGACAAAACAAAAGACGUCUUUGUCAUCAGUUAAUGCAGUCACUCCUUAGGGUGGGCCAGUGAGCCCUGGGUAAUUCAGGAAAGAAUACCGGCCCCCAGCUGAGAUGCGUAUCAAAGCAGUGAUUCCAGUAAGCCCAGAGCUUUAUAUCUUCCCAUAGAAACUAAUUUUCUGUAAAUCUUUUUCUGUAAAUCUGGUUAUUUGUAAAUCUUUUGUUCCUACUACCUUUCCUUUGUUGCAAAAAUUCAUAUAUUCUAGCUUCCCCACUCUCCUCUCAGGAGCAGUUUCUCAUGGCUAUCAGAGAUGCUGUCUCCCAGGUUUAAGUCCUAAUUUCACCCCAAAUAAAACAACUCUCAACUUUCAGGUUGCACAUUUUUUUAAAUUUGACAUUAGGCACUGUUAACACUUUGAAUCAGACAAUUCUUUGCUGAGUGGGAGGAGGGGAGCUGCCUUAUCCUUGUAGACAUUAACAAGGCAUUGGAUCACUGGAGACUGUUCUGACGUUUAUAGUGGUUUGUUAUUUUUUAUAAGACAGUGCUUGAAAUGAAGUUAUGUGACUUAGGUGAUAGGAUAUCAGAAUAUAUAUCUGAGUGUAUAUAUUAAGAUAUAUAUGUAUGAUCAGAAUAUUAUCCUUUAAGGGAAUAUCUUAAUUGCUCUAAAGUAAUGAGGUGAAGCAUCAAAACACAUUACAUACUGAAGACAUAUAUCCAAGUUUAAAAACUUGUGAUUUUCAAAUAAACUCUAGCUUUCUCUGGAUAUAAAUUGUUUGAUAUGUCAAGAAGUUAACAUUGUGAAAACUAUCACUCUGUAAAUGUCAAAGGUAACAGUAAUAUAGCUGUUAAAAAUAAACUUUAUUAAACUAUGUUAAACUGGGGUUGCUGUGGCGUGGGCCAGCUGCAACAGCUCCGAUUAGACCCCCUAGCCUGGGAACCCCCAUAU